GCUCAGGACGAACGCUGGCGGCGUGCCUAAUACAUGCAAGUAGAACGCUGAAGAGAGGAGCUUGCUCUUCUUGGAUGAGUUGCGAACGGGUGAGUAACGCGUAGGUAACCUGCCUUGUAGUGGGGGAUAACUAUUGGAAACGAUAGCUAAUACCGCAUAACAAUGGAUGACACAUGUCAUUUAUUUGAAAGGGGCAAUUGCUCCACUACAAGAUGGACCUGCGUUGUAUUAGCUAGUAGGUGAGGUAACGGCUCACCUAGGCGACGAUACAUAGCCGACCUGAGAGGGUGAUCGGCCACACUGGGACUGAGACACGGCCCAGACUCCUACGGGAGGCAGCAGUAGGGAAUCUUCGGCAAUGGGGGCAACCCUGACCGAGCAACGCCGCGUGAGUGAAGAAGGUUUUCGGAUCGUAAAGCUCUGUUGUAAGUCAAGAACGAGUGUGAGAGUGGAAAGUUCACACUGUGACGGUAGCUUACCAGAAAGGGACGGCUAACUACGUGCCAGCAGCCGCGGUAAUACGUAGGUCCCGAGCGUUGUCCGGAUUUAUUGGGCGUAAAGCGAGCGCAGGCGGUUUGAUAAGUCUGAAGUUAAAGGCUGUGGCUCAACCAUAGUUCGCUUUGGAAACUGUCAAACUUGAGUGCAGAAGGGGAGAGUGGAAUUCCAUGUGUAGCGGUGAAAUGCGUAGAUAUAUGGAGGAACACCGGUGGCGAAAGCGGCUCUCUGGUCUGUAACUGACGCUGAGGCUCGAAAGCGUGGGGAGCGAACAGGAUUAGAUACCCUGGUAGUCCACGCCGUAAACGAUGAGUGCUAGGUGUUGGAUCCUUUCCGGGAUUCAGUGCCGCAGCUAACGCAUUAAGCACUCCGCCUGGGGAGUACGACCGCAAGGUUGAAACUCAAAGGAAUUGACGGGGGCCCGCACAAGCGGUGGAGCAUGUGGUUUAAUUCGAAGCAACGCGAAGAACCUUACCAGGUCUUGACAUCCCGAUGCUAUUUCUAGAGAUAGAAAGUUACUUCGGUACAUCGGUGACAGGUGGUGCAUGGUUGUCGUCAGCUCGUGUCGUGAGAUGUUGGGUUAAGUCCCGCAACGAGCGCAACCCCUAUUGUUAGUUGCCAUCAUUCAGUUGGGCACUCUAGCGAGACUGCCGGUAAUAAACCGGAGGAAGGUGGGGAUGACGUCAAAUCAUCAUGCCCCUUAUGACCUGGGCUACACACGUGCUACAAUGGUUGGUACAACGAGUUGCGAGUCGGUGACGGCAAGCUAAUCUCUUAAAGCCAAUCUCAGUUCGGAUUGUAGGCUGCAACUCGCCUACAUGAAGUCGGAAUCGCUAGUAAUCGCGGAUCAGCACGCCGCGGUGAAUACGUUCCCGGGCCUUGUACACACCGCCCGUCACACCACGAGAGUUUGUAACACCCGAAGUCGGUGAGGUAACCUUUUGGAGCCAGCCGCCUAAGGUGGGAU
rnacentral:rRNA from 1 species